rnacentral:lncRNA from 1 species
GUGGGACCCACUGAAGAAGGACUCCACCUGAUUACUCUGAGAAGCAGAGGAGGAUCCUGACUUCCAGGCCCCAGGCAGUGAGGGGACGUCAGAGUCUGUGCUGGAGAUAUUGCUGGUCGUGCUUGUGAGGACCAAGAUGCCCCUUGUCCAGGUACUGUUCUGGCAGAAGAUGGGAGAAUCUGCAGGUGGCCUCUGGAGCCUGAUCUUUUUGG